GAUCAAGCAAAAGUGCAACAAAUCAUCUCAAAAGAGUAAAGCAAACAUGGGAGAAACUAGUAACAACAACCGAAUCAAUUCAAAUAAACUUCAGCUCACAACAUCGAUGGAGAAAAAAAAAAUACAAAAAGAGGAUUGGAGAUGGGCCGACUAUCUCCUCGCGUCAGGCGCCACUGGAUGACGACGAGACUCUGGCCCUCUGGGAUUAAAGCUAAUCAACCUGUGCUGCUGCUCCUCCUGCUGUGCCACCGCUAUCGCCGAGAUCGAUUGAAGCCGGCCCUGAAGCCUGCCUUGACGAGAGCUCCGGGAGUAGGCUUGAAAGAGUCGAGCUACGCGAGGGAGCGAGCGCAAACCGGCGGCGCCCUGUGAGGGAGGAAAGUAGAGCAACGACGUCGCGCGAGGGAGGAAUGGAGAGCGGCGGUGCCGCGCGAGGAAAGCGGAGUGGGGAGCGGCGGCGGCUAGUGCCGAUCUAUCGAAUGCGAGCAGGUAGGUUUCGGUCAACACGGAGCCGAACUCGAGUAACAGAGUAUCAUGGGCUGGAUUGGGCUCCGGCUUCUUCACUUAUGGGCUGGCCUGGGC
rnacentral:lncRNA from 1 species